GGGAAUUGUCCUGGCCUCUGGGACCCCUCUGCUUCCCCAGUGAGGCUCAGUGGGGCUCCGGAAGGGGGGCUUAGCAGGGUUUUUAGCAGAGCAGAAGGCUCCUAACUGUUUAGAGAACUGGUUUUAGCAAAACGUUGCUAAGGGCUAAAUCCACCUGCCACCUGUAUUUGUCAGGAAGCUUUCCUGGGGCCUCAUCACAUAUGAUUCAUAGUAACUAAAGAGCUGAGUCAUGUGGUGGACCAUUUUAACCUGUAAAGCCUGAAGUGCUGACCACUGGGCCUUGUAUGGAGAGUCUGCUGGCUCCUAGAACUGUCUAGAACCACCUCCUGUUGGACAUCUGCUAUUAUUAUUAAAAGUCUCAGAACUUGAGCUGGCAAGGUGACUCAGUGGGUAAAGGCCCUUUGCCACAGAAGGCUGAUGACGUGAGUUUGGUCCUCAGAACCCAAGGUGGAAGAAGAGAAUCAACUUGGGAAAGCUAUCCUCACAUGCUGCAGCAUCAGCACCACCACCAUCACCAUCACCAUCACCAUCACCAUCACCAUCACCAUCACCAUCACCAUCACCUUCAUAAAUAACAUUAAGAAUAAAUAAAAGUCCUGUCAUUUCAACAUCCAUGGUGUCCUAGAAGUUGAGAGUGCUUUUGCCUUGUGGACUUAGAAUCUUCUCUGCAGACUAAAACCUGAUUUCCACGUCUACUCUGCCCCUUCCUUACCUGUGACUGUCAGCAAGUCACCCGCCUUCCUCCUGCUGGGACUCCCUGAGACCCCAAAAUAAGUUGGACUGUGAUUUACUGGCAACACUUACAAAUUACAUAUUGCAAUGAUAUAUCAUUCAUAUGUAAUAUGAUUAUAAACUACACGUUUAAAAAGUGGGACCUUGAAACAUUAGGAGCCUUACCUGUGGUCUGGUCACUAGGAGUGGACUGCAAAGCCAAAACCCGAUCCUGUCUCUCAGGCAGCCCCACUUGCACCAUGUCCUCAGCCUCUCUGAACACCUGCUGUAAGGGGGGGGCUCGCUAUCCCCAUCCCCACCCGCUCCCACCCUGAGCAUUCACAUAGGAAUCUGCCCUAUAUUUGUAGGAAUCUAUAUUUGCCACACUUUGGCUCCUGGUUUGAAUAGCUUCUUCCCAUCUCUGUAAAGUCCAGAAAGAGAAUGCACACAUUCUUGAGGCUGUCUCCCAACUUUCUAGGAGCCAGGAGCAGGCUGAGCCUAAUGCAUUUGCAGCAAGCAAGACCUGGGCAGAAAUUUCCUGUUUCUGUUAUAUUCCCCUACAGGAAGCCCUCCCUGAUGCCUAAAGCUCCCAGUAUUCCUGCCUGGACCGCUUCUCGUUGAGACAGGUCAGUAACAACCCCAGGACUCUCUAACCCUUGCAUUCUUUCUGCUGGUUUUCAACGUGCCCUGAUUGUCUGCUCUCUUCCUACGAUUGUGUGGCAAUAAUGAAUCCCAGCACAUAAAUGCCUUGCAUUGAAGUUAUCCUCACGACCAAUCCCACUUGUAAGAUGCUGGACCUGGGACCCAUGGGGAGGAGAAACAGACAGUAAGAGGCCUGCAGAGAAGCCCUGUGUGUCCCUUACGGGGAAACCCUCCUGCCCGCUUCUCCUCACAUAGGUACCGAGACGUCAUCUGCGGCUGCUGCAGAUACUGACUAGUUGGGGGUGACACAGACAAUCGAGAAGCUGUUGAUAAAGCAAAUCCCGUGUGCCAACCAGUUUCUAAGCACACUGCCUUAGUCGAGCCCCAGGGCAGGUAUUUCUAUUCCUGAGCAGGUUGGAUGUCCUGGGGAAUCAGGCUCGACCCAGGACUCUGGUGGGUAAGGCUUUUAGCUCACCCCCAGCAGCCCUAAGAGGCCAGAUCAUAUCCUUUCAGGGAGUGGAAAAGGAAACACUGAGCCCUUUUACAGGGUUUCUUGUGUGUGCCUAGCAGCCUCUGAGGAUGGCCGAGCUGCCACGGAUGGAAGAAACAGUUUAUUUUUCCUGUGAGCCGCUCUGGAGCCUUUCAAAGGUGUGAAGUUGCAGAGCCUCCAAAUGCUGACUCCAUGGGGCUGCACAGGGCCAGCCCUGCCUGGGCCUCAGACCCCUCCACCCACCCACCCCCAGUCACAAGCUCCAGCUCUUCAUGUGCUGUGGGAGCUCCCCUAGGCCCAUCUGGCCUCUCCUGUGCUGAAAGGCUGCAGAGUGACAGGCCAGAAACCCGAUUCAGUGUUUAUUCACUAAACACUGAGAGAGCCCUCCUGAGUCUCCUCCCCACCCAAAGCCUCUGCUACUUGGGGGGGUGAGGGGGGGCACUGUCCAUCUGCCAUGCUCAGCAUACCUGGUGUACUUGCCCCAGGAGAUCAGACACAAGGAGGAGCAUCCGGACUGGCCAUGAAGCAAGAAAAAAUCUGGUAAGGCGGAAGAAAGAACUGCCACCCGGUGGCAUCAGUCGAAAGAGGAGGAACCCCAAGUCCUGUGGAUUCUGGAUGGAGCUGAGAAGGUCCCUUGACUGAAAGCGCGGCACACCACUGCACUCUGCACAGCCCCAGGUGCUCCGUGUAGCCCACCCUCAGUCUUCUCUGCUGGAGGUCUCCAGAUCUGUGGCUCUCCCAGUGUCGCUGGCUCUCAGGCCUCCCCUCUCAGCACCAAAUCCAGCUGUGCAAACCCCCUUCUGGCCCAGGAGGACCUCAGCCUUGGACACGGGGGUGCUGCGGGGCUCCUCCACAGGGAAUUCCUGGGAAGGUUUUGUUCACCAGGGAUGGCAGAUGAGGUUCCUCAGUUCCAGCCUCAGCUUGAGCAUGUUCCUGGGGCAGAGCAGGACAGGAAGCUCCGAGGGCCGAAGGAACUCCAUGUGGAGUAUUUCCUGCUCCACUUCUCACUCCCUUCAAUGCUGUCCCAGACUACAGGGCAGCCCGUGGGACACACAGAAAGGAGUGAGCUACAACAGACACCAUUCGGGCAGAAAGACGCCAGAUGCCAGCAUUUGAAGACCUGGUUCCCCAGUCGGUGUUGCUGUUUGGGGACAUUACGGAACCUUUAGGAGCUGCGGCCUUGCUGGAAGAGUAUGUCACCAGAGGGAGCCUUUGAAGGUUUAUAGCCACUUCCAGUUUGCUUUCUCGGCUUCCUGUACAAUAGAAUGUCUUCAGUCAGCUUCCCGCCGAAGCUGUGCCAAGCCUGCCUCACUAAUAGGGGUGUCCUUCGGAAUCCUAAGCCAAAAUAAACUCUUUCCCCAAUGA